GUCUCUUCAGAGACAUUUGAUAAAUUUGGAACGAUAUAGAGGAAUAGCAUAGCCCUCGCACAAAGAUGAUACACAUAAAUCAAAAAAAUUUCCAAUUUUUU